GAUGAACGCUGGCGGCGUGCUUAACACAUGCAAGUCGAACGGAAAGGCCCAAGCUUGCUUGGGUACUCGAGUGGCGAACGGGUGAGUAACACGUGGGUGAUCUGCCCUGCACUUCGGGAUAAGCCUGGGAAACUGGGUCUAAUACCGGAUAGGACCACUUCUUGGAUGUUGUGGUGGAAAGUUUUUUCGGUGUGGGAUGAGCUCGCGGCCUAUCAGCUUGUUGGUGGGGUAAUGGCCUACCAAGGCGUCGACGGGUAGCCGGCCUGAGAGGGUGUACGGCCACAUUGGGACUGAGAAACGGCCCAGACUCCUACGGGAGGCAGCAGUGGGGAAUAUUGCACAAUGGGGGCAAGCCUGAUGCAGCGACGCCGCGUGGGGGAUGACGGCCUUCGGGUUGUAAACUCCUUUCGCUAGGGACGAAGCGUUUUGUGACGGUACCUGGAGAAAAAGCACCGGCUAACUACGUG
rnacentral:rRNA from 1 species